AAACCCAGAUGCCUCUUUCUUCGUUCCAAAGCCUCCAACAGCCUUCCGCCAAUUAGAGGAUUUUUCUGCAGAGUGGUGGGAGUUGGUGAAGACCUCUACAUGGUUCGGUGACUACUAGCUUUACCAACAUCAGGAAGAGGCGAGCUUCAUCAGCGAACUACAUUGAUAAUGAUGACGAAAACAUAGCAAAUUUGUGGCCAGACUCUUUCGAUCUUGGCCAGGCUCAAAGUGCA